UUUUUUUUAAAUUAUUUAGUAAAAUUGCUAAUAAUUUUAGUAAAAAAAAAAAAGUGUAAAUGGUGAGCAAAGAAGAAAGCAACGGAGAAAUAAGAAUAAGAAGGACAAGCACAGAUCUUACUUUUCCUUUUGAAAAUGCUUUAUUAAACUACCUCUAUAAAUACAACAAUGCCAAAAAAGUUUUAAAACAAACAAUGCGAGAUAGAAAACAGUUCUAAACAGAGCUAAAAAAAAAAAAAGGAAAAGAUAUUAUGGCAAUAACAUUCUACAUUAUCGAAAUGUCCUCAGCCGAGGUCACCUUGUCUUGUUCAUUUGUCUUUUAGUAACAAGAAACAAGUCUAAAAAGGAGAGAGAGAGAAAAAAAAACGCUACACAUGUAGUGUUUAUGAAAUGAUCGCAAAAUAAAUCGUGUUUUGCCAAUGAAUGCAUGAUCAAUUUGGGCCAGUAUUACUCCACACUGGCAACUUACAGCCACAUUUAUAUAUCCACACAUACACACAUUCGCAUUAGUUGAACACUUUGGCAAAAAAAAGAAGUUUUUGUUGUUGUUAAACUCUCUAAAGCACAUAAUAAGAUGAAAAAAUCUUCUUAAAAUAUAUUAUAGCAUUUCCUCUUACUUCAUACACAAAAACAUUGUACUGUAUAUAUUAAAUAUAUCCUGACUGCUUCGCUCAUAAUAAAAGAUUAGAUAACAGACAGAGAAAAACUACUGGGGAUGGUUCACUUUUCUCAAAAAAACACAGAUAUGCCAUAUUCUAGAUGAUCGCAGCAGUGUGUAAAAAUGUGUCACUACGUGAUGUGACUUGCAUGGAUCGUCAUUCUUUGUUUUGGUAUAUCGUGACGUUUUCCCCAAACUUUCGACUCAAAAAAAAGCAGACU